UAAAGAUCGGAGUUUUCCAGAGUCCUGUGC
rnacentral:piRNA from 1 species